AAAAAACUAUGUUCGAGGGUUGAUUUGGCCUAGUUGAGAUCAAGGUACAUUUGCUCCUGCCGGAUGCUAGUGGUCAUUCAGCUAUUUCUGGAGACUUCAAGGUAUACAUGCCCGACGCUCGUAGGCCUUGGAGUCACCUUCUUCCAUUCUCUUAUUAAUGUUUAUCCUCUAUUCAGAUAGUGUUAUAUUAGAUAAUUUUAGUACAUUUAUGUAUAGCUUAUGACUCAGUCUCAUCGGGUUUUGGGAAUAUCGUACUGCGGUUCAAUAUCGAAGUUAUUAUGAUAUUUAUCAUCUUUAUUUCAUGUUUUAGUCGUUGCUUCUUUCA